UGUCCCUGGGUAUACUCCAACCCAAUGUGAACCAUACCAAACUGUUGCCUCGGCGGGGUCACGCCCCGGGUGCGUCGCAGCCCCGGAACCAGGCGCCCGCCGGAGGGACCAACCAAACUCUUUCUGUAGUCCCCUCGCGGACGUUAUUUCUUACAGCUCUGAGCAAAAAUUCAAAAUGAAUCAAAACUUUCAACAACGGAUCUCUUGGUUCUGGCAUCGAUGAAGAACGCAGCGAAAUGCGAUAAGUAAUGUGAAUUGCAGAAUUCAGUGAAUCAUCGAAUCUUUGAACGCACAUUGCGCCCGCCAGUAUUCUGGCGGGCAUGCCUGUCCGAGCGUCAUUUCAACCCUCGAACCCCUCCGGGGGGUCGGCGUUGGGGACUUCGGGAACCCCUAAGACGGGAUCCCGGCCCCGAAAUACAGUGGCGGUCUCGCCGCAGCCUCUCCUGCGCAGUAGUUUGCACAACUCGCACCGGGAGCGCGGCGCGUCCACGUCCGUAAAACACCCAACUUCUGAAAUGUUGACCUCGGAUCAGGUAGGAAUACCCGCUGAACUUAAGCAUAUCAA
rnacentral:rRNA from 1 species